CUCAUUUUGGUCAAACACAUUCAUGCCAUUCUACUCCAGUAAAUUCAAUGCCGCUCGUUGUAAGCAUAGCGAUAAAUCCCAAAGGCUGUUCAAAGCAAUAAUUUCAAAUUUGUAUUGCAACUUGCCAACAUUUUUAAAGUAAAUAAAUUCCGUUAUUGUACAGUGACAUUCUCAUGUUAUAUACGCUCUACAGUCAAUAACAUAAUAUCAUUCACCAACAUGAUAGUACUCGAUUGUAUUAUAUUUUACUAGUCUUGAAGCAAGAAUAGCCAUAGCCCUUGGGUUUUUGAAGUUGCCAAGAUUUCGGCUCAGAAUGAAAUGCCCAAGCUAAGAUUUCCGAAGGUUUUUUCAAAUUUUCAAUAUUUACUGCAUUUACUCCCUCCACAAAAUCUGGUUUAUACGAGAAGAUGUGACUGCUAAAAUGAUCAUUAUGCUAUAAAAAACCCCAUUUGUCGUUUACAAUGCUUUACAUUCGUUUUUAUCCACACUAUUCACAAGCCUGUGUCACGGUUUAUGUAAUUGGCUUGGGGAACGUGUUGGAAAGAAUAAAACCGCUGUAUACUUCAUACGGAACGCAAUUAUUACUUUUCGUUCUGCAAUAAAUCAGUGGAAUAUCGUGUUGGUUUUUUUACAUAUAGUUUUAUUUUGAUGUAUUUAGUAAACACUCUAUUUGUUAAUUGAAUAUAAGUUAAAUUAUUAAAAGA